rnacentral:rRNA from 1 species
GUGCCAGCCGCCGCGGUAAUACGAGGGGGGCGAGCGUUGUUCGGAAUUAUUGGGCGUAAAGGGUGCGUAGGCGGUUUGGUAAGUCUUAUGUGAAAUCUACAGGCUCAACUUGUAGUCUGCAUGAGAAACUGCCGGGCUUGAGUAUGGGAGAGGUGAGUGGAAUUCCUGGUGUAGCGGUGAAAUGCGUAGAUAUCAGGAGGAACACCUGUGGCGAAAGCGGCUCACUGGACCAUAACUGACGCUGAUGCACGAAAGCUAGGGGAGCAAACAGGAUUAGAUACCCUCGUAGUCC